rnacentral:rRNA from 1 species
GAUGAACGCUGGCGGCGUGCCUAAUACAUGCAAGUCGAGCGAAUGGAUUAAGAGCUUGCUCUUAUGAAGUUAGCGGCGGACGGGUGAGUAACACGUGGGUAACCUGCCCAUAAGACUGGGAUAACUCCGGGAAACCGGGGCUAAUACCGGAUAACAUUUUGAACCGCAUGGUUCGAAAUUGAAAGGCGGCUUCGGCUGUCACUUAUGGAUGGACCCGCGUCGCAUUAGCUAGUUGGUGAGGUAACGGCUCACCAAGGCAACGAUGCGUAGCCGACCUGAGAGGGUGAUCGGCCACACUGGGACUGAGACACGGCCCAGACUCCUACGGGAGGCAGCAGUAGGGAAGCUUCCGCAAUGGACGAAAGUCUGACGGAGCAACGCCGCGUGAGUGAUGAAGGCUUUCGGGUCGUAAAACUCUGUUGUUAGGGAAGAACAAGUGCUAGUUGAAUAAGCUGGCACCUUGGCGGUACCUAACCAGAAAGCCACGGCUAACUACGUGCCAGCAGCCGCCGUAA